UUGAACGCUGGCGGCAGGCCUAACACAUGCAAGUCGAGCGGUAGCACAGAGAAGCUUGCUUCUUGGGUGACAAGCGGCGGACGGGUGAGUAACGCGUAGGAAUCUACCUAAUAUGGGGGAUAGCCCAGGGAAACUUGGAUUAAUACCGCAUACGCCCUACGGGGAAAGCGGGGGGGGGAUCUUCGGACCUCGUGCUAUUAGAUGAGCCUGCGUAAGAUUAGCUAGUUGGUGAGGUAAAGGCUCACCAAGGCGACGAUCUUUAGCUGGUCUGAGAGGAUGAUCAGCCACACUGGGACUGAGACACGGCCCAGACUCCUACGGGAGGCAGCAGUGGGGAAUAUUGGACAAUGGGGGCAACCCUGAUCCAGCCAUGCCGCGUGUGUGAAGAAGGCCUUCGGGUUGUAAAGCACUUUCAGAUGUGAGGAAAGGUUGCAGAUUAAUACUCUGCAGCUGUGACGUUAACAUCAGAAGAAGGACCGGCUAACUCCGUG
rnacentral:rRNA from 1 species